UAGAAACAUAGAAUGUGACGGCAGAUAAGAACCAUUCGGCCCAUCUAGUCUGCCCAAUUUUCUAAAUACUUUCAUUCCCUGGCCUUAUCUUAUAGUUAGGAUAGCCUUAUGCCUAUCCCACGCAUGCUUAAACUCCUUUACUGUGUUAACCUCUACCACUUCAGCUGGAAGGCUAUUCCAUGCAUCCACUAGCCUCUCAGUAAAGUAAUACUUCC